AUUGAACGCUGGCGGCAGGCCUAACACAUGCAAGUCGAGCGGAUGAAGGGAGCUUGCUCCUGGAUUCAGCGGCGGACGGGUGAGUAAUGCCUAGGAAUCUUCCUGUUAGUGGUGGAUAACGUCCGGAAACGGGCGCUAAUACCGCAUACGUCCUUAGGGAGAAAGUGGGGGAUCUUCGGACCUCACGCUAUCAGAUGAGCUUAGGUCGGAUUAGCUAGUUGGUGGGGUAAAGGCCUACCAAGGCGACGAUCCGUAACUGGUCUGAGAGGAUGAUCAGUCACACUGGAACUGAGACACGGUCCAGACUCCUACGGGAGGCAGCAGUGGGGAAUAGUGGAAGAUGGGCGAAAGACUGAUCAAGCCAUGCAGCGUGUGUGAAGAAGGUCUUCGGAUUGGAAAGCACUUUAAGUGGGGAGGAAGGGCAGUAAGUUAAUACCUGGCUGUUUUGACGGUACCAACAGAAUAAGCACCGGCUAACUUCGUG
rnacentral:rRNA from 1 species